UCAGAUAUUUUUGGCAGUUAUCAAAGGGCCC
rnacentral:piRNA from 1 species